CGCUGAGGCACGAAAGCGUGGGGAGCAAACAGGAUUAGAUACCCUGGUAGUCCACGCCGUAAACGAUGAGUACUAAGUGUUGGGUUAAACCAGUGCUGAAGUUAACACAUUAAGUACUCCGCCUGAGUAGUACGUACGCAAGUAUGAAACUUAAAGGAAUUGACGGGACUCCGCACAAGCGGUGGAUCAUGUUGUUUAAUUCGAAGAUACACGAAAAACCUUACCAGGUCUUGACAUACUCUGCAAAGCUAUAGAAAUAUAGUGGAGGUUAUCAGGGAUACAGGUGGUGCAUGGUUGUCGUCAGCUCGUGUCGUGAGAUGUUGGGUUAAGUCCCGCAACGAGCGCAACCCUUAUCACUAGUUACCAUCAUUUAGUUGGGCACUUUAGUGAGACUGCCAAUGAUAAAUUGGAGGAAGGUGGGGAUUACGUCAAAUCAUCAUGCCCCUUAUGACCUGGGCUACAAACGUGAUACAAUGGCUGUUACAAA
rnacentral:rRNA from 1 species